rnacentral:rRNA from 1 species
AGCGAACGCUGGCGGCAGGCCUAACACAUGCAAGUCGAGCGGCCGUAGCAAUACGGCAGCGGCAGACGGGAUAGUAACACGUGGGAACGCGCCCUUCGGUUCGGAAUAACUCAGGGAAACUUGAGCUAAUACCGGAUACGCCCUUACGGGAAAGAUUUAUUGCCGAAGGAACGGCCCGCGUCGGAUUAGCUAGUUGGUGAGGUAAUGGCUCACCAAGGCGACGAUCCGUAGCUGGCUGAGAGGAUGACCAGCAUCACUGGGACUGAGACACGGCCCAGACUCCUACGGGAGGCAGCAGGUGGGGAAUAUUGGACAAUGGGCGCAAGCCUGAUCCAGCCAUGCCGCGUGGAUGAUGAAGGCCCUAGGGUUGUAAAGUCCUUUUAACGGGGAAGAUAAUGACGGUACCGUAGAAUAAGCCCCGGCUAACUUCGUGCCAGCCGCCGCAGUAAU